UACAGAGGGUGCGAGCGUUAAUCGGAUUUACUGGGCGUAAAGGGCGCGUAGGCGGAUGGCACAGUCAGAUGUGAAAUUCCCGGGCUUAACCUGGGGGCGUGCAUUUGAUACGUGUGAUCUAGAGUGAGGAAGAGGGUCGUGGAAUUCCCAGUGUAGAGGUGAAAUUCGUAGAUAUUGGGAAGAACACCGGUGGCGAAGGCGGCGACCUGGUCCUUGACUGACGCUGAGGCGCGAAAGCGUGGGGAGCAAACAGG
rnacentral:rRNA from 1 species